rnacentral:rRNA from 1 species
UACGAAGGGGGCUAGCGUUGUUCGGAAUCACUGGGCGUAAAGCGCACGCAGGCGGAUCGUUAAGUCAGGGGUGAAAUCCCGAGGCUCAACCUCGGAACUGCCUUUGAUACUGGCGAUCUUUGAGUCCGGGAGAGGUGAGUGGAACUCCGAGUGUAGAGGUGAAAUUCGUAGAUAUCAGGAGGAACACCAGUGGCGAAGGCGGCUUCCUGGACACCAACUGACGCUGAGACGCGAAAGCGUGGGGAGCAAACAGG